rnacentral:rRNA from 1 species
CACGUUGGAACCUACCCCAGACUCAGGGAUAGCCCGCCGAAAGGUGGAUUAAUACCGGAUAGUCUCGUAAGAGUAAAGCUUUUGCGGUCUGGGAGGGGCCUGCGGCCUAUCAGCUUGUUGGUAGUGUAAUAGACUACCAAGGCUAUGACGGGUAUCUGGUGUGAGAGCAUGACCAGACACAAUGGAACUGAGACACGGUCCAUACUCCUACGGGAGGCAGCAGUGAGGAAUCUUCCGCAAUGGGCGAAAGCCUGACGGAGCGACACCGCGUGGAGGACGAAGGCCUUUUGGUUGUAAACUCCUUUU